GGACUACUUGAAGCGCAAAACUCUUGGUGCAACUCAGGGGCUCAUUGACGUCAUGCUAAGGUAAGGCCACAAAUGCAUGAUGCACAAGACUCAGACACUAAAAAGACCAUGACUUUUGUCCUACCUAUCACUCCCCGAAAAAGCUGAACUCACCAGUCUUCUGUCAGAAGACUGGUGAGCAAAAAAGUUCACAAACUUCUGAAAGAGCUCAGCAGUUGCCAAUUAGAAUGUUCAUGGAGUAGUGCUACCUGUCUUGCAAGUACCAUAGACUACGCCACCAUCCUAGAGAAACGAAUCAGUGCAUUCUGAAAUCUCCGCUGCUGAUUGUUCUGUCAUGGAUUGGCUAGACUAUGAAAACUACCUACUUGCCGACCUCGCUGACCUUAAUGCAGUAUCGGUUAAGUGCUACACUACUUAUGCCAAAGGCCAAUGAAAGUCACUGCCAAGCAUACUUUCCGUAUACAUAACCUCCCCAAUGAAGUUUAUCUUGGUGGAGAAUCCUGCCCUGUCAGACCAUAUCGAUCUCUCCGGGAUCUGGAUUGUAAGAUAGCGGGAGAGAGGAAGGGGUGUAUAAUGACCUGGAUGGGGAUUCGGAAUGGAUAUUGUUGACAGCAAACCAAUUGUGGUGGCUUUCAUAACGCAUUUUAUAGGGACUUACAAGUUCGAGUCUGAGGGAGCAGUCCUCAGAUUCAAACUUCACUGAGUAAUUACCUGGGUGGGUGAUUAGGAAUGGAUAGAGUUGACAGCAAACAUCGAUGAGGGGGUAGUAGUAGCAGUGGAUGAAUUCAUGAUCAAAGGAAGGGCAGGGGUCGGGAAAAAAGAGAACUCAAAUUUAAAUAAGCUAGUUCAUAAAGGGUAAGCCUUAAUGCCCCUAAUAGGGGUACAAAAUCUUCAUUAUUGGCCAUGGUGAGCUUGAAAAAUAUGGGGCUGAGGGGAAGAGAAACGAUCUACCCCUUAGGGUCCCCAUAAGGGGUCAGGGCUAUGAGACUAACGAACGGUUCCAGGAGGCCGUUCAGGACUGACACAAAGCCAGUCCUUCAACCUUUCAGCAUGUCUCUCACACAUUAGGAAGGGGAAAGAAGGGAUUGAAGACAAGAGGGAAAAGAAAAGACCAUGCAGAAUUAGUUGAGGCAAGGGCUGAGGUUCACAGUUGGGGGUGAUGCCCUACAUUAGUCCUGUCUCCGUCUCCUAUGCCUCCCCUCCACCACCAACAAUAACGCACAUUGGUUGGAGGGAAACAUUAGCAAUAUCUAGAAGCAAUAUUAUUCCAAUACUCCUUCCUGGUGCAAACAUUAUUUUUUCUUUCCACAUCUUCAACCUUGGGCCUGUCUCAUCGAGGAUAUUUUCCUUUUUUAUAUUGUAAAUAUAGUGUAUUCAGCAUAAUCUAUUA